GCCUAGCCCUGAUGGGAGGUAAAAUCCUUUUGUGCCGGGGUUCGGCACAAAAGAUUGGAAGGACAGCAGGAAAUAGC
rnacentral:sRNA from 1 species